rnacentral:rRNA from 1 species
UGUGCCAGCCGCCGCGGUAAUACGUAGGGUGCGAGCGUUGUCCGGAAUUAUUGGGCGUAAAGAGCUUGUAGGCGGUUUGUCGCGUCUGCUGUGAAAGCCCGGGGCUUAACCCCGGGUCUGCAGUGGGUACGGGCAGGCUAGAGUGUGGUAGGGGAGACUGGAAUUCCUGGUGUAGCGGUGGAAUGCGCAGAUAUCAGGAGGAACACCGAUGGCGAAGGCAGGUCUCUGGGCCACUACUGACGCUGAGAAGCGAAAGCGUGGGGAGCGAACAGG